UCAGGCUUACGAUCAAACACCUGUUCCCGAAUGAUCACCGACUUUAAGCAACGUUAAGCCUGAUCAGCACCUAGAUGGGUGACCACUUGGGAAUGCCAUGUGUUGUAUG